AAGGAAGGUGUGGGGUUUUAUAAGAUCCAAGGGCAAUAUGGUCAUUUAUAGUGAUUCAGGUUUGAGGGAGCCGGAGAAGUAUAAGUGAGAAGUUGGGUCCAUUCCGGACGGUCGCGGGCUCGCGGCUUAAACGGUGUUGCUGAAGUCAGCUUAUGUCAUGCUGACAGCCGGAUCUUGCACUCUUCGUCUAUAUUUACAUAUAUACCCCUCUUUGAGAUACCAACUUUAAAACUAUUUAUAUCUCAACAAAUAUUUUCGAUUUUAGUAGUAGUUUUUUUUAAUUUUU